rnacentral:sRNA from 1 species
GGCUAUUGUGAUGGGUUGUCUAGGUGACAAGAUGAUAGAAUGGAGGGGAGAAACAUUUGAGGUAGAAACAUGGUUCAGAGGUAGAGACAAAAUUAAGGCAUUGAAGUCCUGUUAAGAUGUCAUCAGCCUGGUGUGGUGGCACGAAUCUGUCAUCCUCCCACUGGGGAAGCUGAAGCAAGAUUGUGAGUUCCGGCCAGCCUGGGCUACAUAGUAAGAUCCUGCAUGCAACCCCUGAAAAGAGCAACCAAAUCAAUAAAGAUGCAGGCUAACUCGGGGUAUGGAAUAGAAAGCAGAGAGCUUGCAUCCUCCCCACCCUCGCUCACUCCCAGAGACAUUUCACUCCGUUUAGCAGACUAGCUCCCGGCAGUCUGAGUGGGAAAGUGCUGCCGUAAAGAAGCCCUGAAAGGUAGGUUAAUGACACAAGAAGAUGCUCGGAAAGCCAGGCACGGGGGAAAAGCAAGCUUGCAAGCUAAGUAAACUCUCUUCCCAGCAAUGGGAGUCUGGGCCUGUUCCUUAACCCUUUUCAGUUUCUGUCUAUUCAGCUGUAAGACAAGAUAAGGAUCUCUGCCUCAGGUAUGUGGUAUUGGAACUUAACUCAGUUACGGGAGCCUGAGCAGGCGCUCAGCCUUCGCUCCCACUUGGAAAUUAAAAGGUGAGACAUGAACCCUUGUAUGACAGAUUAAGGUGAACUUUAAUGUUGAGUGUGUCAGGGAAUUUCCCUCCUCCGUUCUUAGAUCCCAUUUGCCAGGGUCGUGGCCAGUCAUUCAUUCAGGAAAUAUUUGCUGAGUUCUCUGCUUCUGUCAGUGUGGGCAGCAGCACCCCAGGCGUUGGUUAAAAGCUGCCUUCUACAGUCCUGUGGAACUCUGUCAGAAGGCGGAACAGUGCUAAGGAGGUUUGUAUUCUGGGACAGAAGCUCCGGAAGAGGUUUGCAAUGGGAUUGGGCUAGUGCUGAGAAGGUCACAUGAGAACGGCUUCUCCAUGGCCUUGCUAAUGACUGUGUGUGGGAAACACGUUAGCUGACAGGCAAUCCCGCUAGGCUCCUUCUAGCUUACUUAUCGCCUGCCGCCAUUACCUGCCAGAUGCAGGUGUCUAUAAAAGGACUGCUCGCCACUCCAGUUCUCUCUGUGUGUCCCCACAUGUUCCUGGCUGGUCUCUGUCCCCACUCUGUCCUUCCUUGUCCGAGUUCUCUACCCUCGUGACUCUACUCCCAUCCCAUCACAACAACUAUGACAGACAACCUGUCUGUCUCUACCUUUGCUCUGGUCCUCAUUCUCCUCCCUUCUCCCAAAUAAACCUCCUUUAUACCAGAUCGAUUGCAUGGUGAUUUCUCAGGGACACCUUGGCACGGGCCUGCCAGGUACUCCCUCGCCGCCUUCUAUUUCAAAGCAGAAGGCAUACCUCAUCUGUGCCCUCCUCCUGGCAUACUGAGCCCACUCUCUGGUCUGUAUAUUUCUUCUUUCUCAAUUGUGUU